rnacentral:rRNA from 1 species
AUGAAGCAAGAAAGGGAAAGGGAUGAAGCACCUAGCUCGUGGUAUAAUCCUCAUGGAAGGGUGGCACACUCUGGUUUUGAGCAUGACUUGGAGUUUGAAGCACCGGCUCAGAGAUGUAUAAUCAAUGCUAAGGUCCAUGAGUAUUCUGACAGUGAAAGUGAGGAAUUAGAGUAUGAAACAGAAUUCGAGAAUAUAGAGAGCUCACCAACACAUGAAAGGGAAAAUGAGCUGGAUGAAAAUAAUGUAUAUGAUAAAGACCUAGGUGUUUCUUCUCUGCCAAAUGAAGAGAUUGAGGUUGUUAUGGUGGGACCACAUCGGCAAAUGUCUCAUGGCAAACUUCACAGUUGCAGGACAACGCUAUUGCAGAUAGAGCACAUCAAAUUGGAAUGA